GACGAACGCUGGCGGCGUGCUUAACACAUGCAAGUCGAACGGAAAGGCCCUGCUUUUGUGGGGUGCUCGAGUGGCGAACGGGUGAGUAACACGUGAGUAACCUGCCCUUGACUUUGGGAUAACUUCAGGAAACUGGGGCUAAUACCGGAUAUGAGCUCCUGCUGCAUGGUGGUGGUUGGAAAGUUUCGGCGGUUGGGGAUGGACUCGCGGCUUAUCAGCUUGUUGGUGUGGUAGUGGCUUACCAAGGCUUUGACGGGUAGCCGGCCUGAGAGGGGGACCGGCCACAUUGGGACUGAGAUACGGACCAGAAUCCUACGGGAGGCAGCAGUGGGGAAUAUUGCAGAAUGGGCGGAAGCCUGAUGCAGCAACGCCGCGAGCGGGAUGACGGCCUUCGGGUUGUAAACCGCUUUCGCAUGUGACGAAGAGUGAGUGACGGUAAUGGGUAAAGAAGCACCGGCUAACUACGUG
rnacentral:rRNA from 1 species